UGGGUUUAGAACGUCGUGAGACAGUUCGGUCCCUAUCUGCCGUGGGCGCUGGAGAACUGAGGGGGGCUGCUCCUAGUACGAGAGGACCGGAGUGGACGCAUCACUGGUGUUCGGGUUGUCAUGCCAAUGGCACUGCCCGGUAGCUAAAUGCGGAAGAGAUAAGUGCUGAAAGCAUCUAAGCACGAAACUUGCCCCGAGAUGAGUUCUCCCUGACUCCUUGAGAGUCCUGAAGGAACGUUGAAGACGACGACGUUGAUAGGCCGGGUGUGUAAGCGCAGCGAUGCGUUGAGCUAACCGGUACUAAUGAACCGUGAGGCUUAACCUUACAACGCCGAAG
rnacentral:rRNA from 1 species